UAGAGGCCGCAAGGACAGAAAUGGAGCCAAGGCUGCGGAGGUGGGAGGCGGGAGGU
ensembl:misc_RNA